UAGGCAGAAGUCCGCUGGCUUGGACGCUUAGCUGUUAACUAAGAGUUUGUGGGAUCGAGGCCCUCUUGCCUAG
rnacentral:tRNA from 1 species